ACACUUAUUAUUUUUGACGAAAAUAUUUUGUUUAAAAAAAAUCAUAAAAUACUGCUAUGCCCUUAAAAACUACAUUUUUCGGUGACCAACGGAUGUUUUCGCCGCGCAGUGCAUUCUGGGGGCGAUGACGUAGCGAAGUUGCAGGAGUCUGAAAACUUCGAUAGCACACUGUUCUCUUGAUUAGCAACUGACGCCGGUUUGGUAGUAAAAUGCCACAUUGUGCUACUUUCGGAUGUAAUUUCCAAUCGAAAGGCAACAAGGGGAGUGGUGUCACUAUAUUUAUAUUUCCAAAGGACAAGAAGGGGAGAAAAGGUGGGAGGAUGCCAUGGACGGAGUACAGCUAGCUAGCUAUGAUAGCUUCCUAAAAGUGGCGCUGUGCCCAGCAUUUUCUCCUCAAUGGAUUUAGUCGACUGCCACUGAUGGAAGACCUCACCGGGAGCGAUUGGCUAUAAGCCUACGCUAAAACCAGAGGCUUGCCCGACGAUCACCCCCCAUACGGAGUCUAAAAAGUCCAGGGAAGCGAGUGAAAUGUGCGUUAAAAACGUGACAGAUAAGAUGCUGUGUGCUCUCCUGAGAAGACGACUAUGCUACGGUAACAUCAGGCAAAUCAGACUCGUCGCCACUCAUCACAGAGGAAGACCACCUUACUCCACACCACAGUAUGGAGGAGGGCUUGCACCAACUUCCAAAAACCCAAAUUGAUGCCUGUCCCGUUAUUGUCGGCCAUUUCAGUGAUGAUGAAUCUGAACGUCAGUCUUGAACAGAACCUAGAGCUCUGAUGGAUCGGGGUUCCAAGCAGCUGCUGAUAGACCAUGAUGGCUGCACCUCAUGACCACCUACAUCCUGAAGACAAUAAAUAUGCUUAUUGGGCUGUAGUGACAAACAUGUACAUUUCUUUAGAGGGACACUGUGUGAGAUUUUUAGUUGUUUAUUUCCAGAAUUUAUGCUGCCCAUUCACUAAUGUUACCUUUUUCAUGAAUACUUACCACCAGCAUCAAAUUAAGUAUUCAUUAUGACUGGAAAAAUUGCACUUUUCAAACAUGAAAAGGGGGAUCUUCUCCAUUGUCCGCCAUUUUGAAUGUCCAAAAAUGACUGUACUCGGACCACUCGAAAAUAUUUGUUUAAUACUUAAAUUUUCAUGUUAAAAUCAAAUUUGGCAAUAGGCAGCCCAAUUUCAGUAAGCAGCAUAGUUGCAGUACCUUUUUUUGACCAUUUCCUGCACAGUGUCCCUUUAAUGUUACUUUUAACUUUGUUGUUGUGAGAAUCUUUCUAUUCUUGAUAUAAAAAUACAGUGCUGA